UUUUUUUUUUUUUUUUUUUCCUGCUCCCAAACCAACUAGAGCGCGAGACUCAGCCUGAAGCUGCAGCCUCUUGGAUCCACCUUAAAUCUUCAGCGGACUCGGCGUCGGGGUCAGUGGGCGCAGCCAAUGCCAAUCAAGUUUACAACCAGCAGCACGGGAGGGAAAAAAAAUCAUCUGCAAGUUCUCCCUACACACAAAUACGCGCGCGCACACAGGCACACACGUACGCACACACACACACAGAAAGAAGGAGGGGGUGGGGGCAGGCGCUCGGGAGAGGGCGAGAAUGUUUGCGAAAUGCGCGUCCGAGUCUCCCGAGCCGCGGCUGGAGCGCGGGGAAGGCGCGCGGGAGCGCAGCCCGGCGCCAGCGCCAUGAUGGUCGCCGUGGUUCGGAGCCCGUUUUCUGGAGGGGGAGCCACAAUGAUGCAAUACCCCGGCCGCGCGCCCUGCUCCCAGCCUUUUCUCAACGUUCCUUUAGAGGCGCGUCGAGGUUUCGCGCCCAACGCCUUGAUUUCUUUUUGUACUGCUUGCUCCGAUGCCUGCCGCUCUGUGUGUCCCCACGCGUGACAGGCCGGGCGCGCGGGCGGCCGCAGAGGGCUGGGGCAUACGUGUCAACUCUGCACUUUCGGUUCUGCGGGGUCGGCCUGCGGCGGACCCCACCCCAGCCCCCAGGCCAGCCCCGAUCCCGGAGGUGGCUGCUGAGGUUUUCCAACGGGACUGUGGGCCCCUUCCCCACCCCCAGCUGGGCCCGCAGGAUUUUUUACCUCCCUUUUGGCGGAGAGGGGGUGGGUGGACGUAGGGUGUGGCCCAGGUGAAAGACACAGCAAGUUUUAAAAAGAAAUUCAUACUCUGAACACCAGACAGAAGAUCCUAGAGGAGAUUUAGAAUUACUUUUUCGGUGCAAAGAGCUUGAGAGAAGAGCAAGUGUGGGCGCUGUGAUGAUAAUGAAAUGGCGAAGGCAGAGUCCCCCGGCCUCCGGGAAAGUCGCUCCCUGAGGCCGGAGCACCCCGGCCUGAGAGGCCUCUCGCCCCGCUCCCCGCUUGUGAAGCCCACGCUCCCGGAGUCCCCCAAACACGCCCCCAAACCCACAUUUCCCAGUUCUUCCCUGUCCCAGGCCCCCGCGCCAGGCGGCCGGGGAUGCGAUGGGGGGACGUUGCCGAGCUGGGGUGAGGGCGGAGGGACCCACGCGGGCGGCCGUGGCGUUGGGCCCGGGCCGCGCGCCUCUGUGACCCUCCCCGGGCGCCGGCGAGCCGGGCGGGCUUUCGAAAUGCGCGGGGCUGCGGAUCAUUGGAGCCCAGUGUAGGGGUGGGAGCGGGCUGCAGCGCCGGAGGGUCCGCGAACUCGGGAAGGCUCUCUCCUUAGCUCCAAUAUCCCCACAGCCGCGGAGGCAGCCAGUAACUCAGGUGGAGAGUCUGUCUGCGGAGAGGAGUGGGGGCUUUCGCCGCUUUCUCAGCGCAGAGGAGAGGAUGAGGGAGGAAAGUUUCUGAGAAACCGCCCAGCCCGGCUGC
rnacentral:lncRNA from 1 species